AAAUGGACUCUCAGCAACGAUAUCUUGCUCUGCAC
rnacentral:rRNA from 1 species